GGAUAUAACCAAAUUCCUAAUCAAAUGCAACAAUUAAGAAUCACUUCAAACAAAUCAGAUUCACAUUUAAAGAUAAACUUACAGAAUAAUAAGUAGAUUCAAAUUACUAAAAAUUAAUCAUCAAUUGAACUCCAAAUUAACCAAACCAAGAUGAAGGAUUCAGUGACUAAACUAACACACUUUUAGAUUAACCCAAACAAGAACAAAUGAACACUUUAAACAUUUUGAACGAAAACAAACUGACUUCAUAUGCAAGAAAUGAUGAACAACAAAGUAAAAACUCAAUAGGCCACUACUAAAUAAUCACAAAUAAACCGGAAUCUUAUUCAUAUGCUCAUAUAAAAAUCAAGUAAAUAACCACCUACAUGCUAGCAGAGAACAAACAAAAAUCUGCUGAAUCAAACUUAGAAAAAUGCCAAAUAAGGCUUCGAACAAAUCUGGAAAAACACGACCAACCGUAGAUGAACCUCGACAUGGAAAAUUCGAACUCGCCGGAAGGUGAAGAGGAAAGGUAUGGAUUUGUGUGUGUGUAUAUCUGGAUUCAACUUCUCAAAGUCCAAGAUCCAAAUAACCAAGUUGUUUUCACCCUUUUCCUGUUGCGACGAAGCAAAUGGGGUCGUUUGGACGUGAGGUUCAACUGGCCGCUGUAGUGUUCGUUUGACGGAGAUGGUGACUGAAGCAUAAGUCGAUGGGGUCGUUUGGUUUCGUCACUGGCUGGAUGAGACGUUGACGUGAAGCAGCAGCUAUGGAGCUGCUCGCUGCUACUCAUCUGUGUUCGACGGCGGCUGGGGUCUGCUGGUGACUUGGGGUAGACGGAGGUGGUCGUUUGGGACAUCAGCGAGCUGGUCCGGCGUGACGGGGCAACCGGGAAAGAAAUGGCAGUGGAGGGGGGCCGGUAUUAGGGUUUUAUCUUGGGGUUUUGGUGUGGUUUUCUUGAGGUUGAAGAAAGUAAACCGUGGAGUUUCCAAACAUUAGGUUUUCCUAAAUGUGUUCUAUGGUUGAGAAGAAGAUAGGUUAGGGCUGCUGAUGGGUUACAUGAGUUUGGAUAAUUGGUUUGGGCUUGGGUUGGGUAUUUGGUUUGGACUUGGGAUAUUUUUAAAUUGGAUAAGAGACCCAAUCCGAUUUUCCUUUUCAUAUUUUUGCUCUUUUCUAUUUAUUCAAAUUCCU
rnacentral:lncRNA from 1 species